GUGAGGAAUAUUGGUCAAUGGGCGAGAGCCUGAACCAGCCAAGUCGCGUGAAGGAAGAAGGAUCUAUGGUUCGUAAACUUCUUUUGCAGGGGAAUAAAGUGCAGGACGUGUCCUGUUUUGUAUGUACCUUGAGAAUAAGGAUCGGCUAACUCCGUGCCAGCAGCCGCGGUAAUACGGAGGAUCCGAGCGUUAUCCGGAUUUAUUGGGUUUAAAGGGUGCGUAGGUGGUUUGAUAAGUCAGCGGUGAAAGUUUGCAGCUUAACUGUAAAAAUGCCGUUGAAACUGUCGGACUUGAGUGUAAAUGAGGUAGGCGGAAUGCGUGGUGUAGCGGUGAAAUGCAUAGAUAUCACGCAGAACUCCGAUUGCGAAGGCAGCUUACUAAGCUACAACUGACACUGAAGCACGAAAGCGUGGGGAUCAAACAGGAUUAGAUACCCGGGUAGUCC
rnacentral:rRNA from 1 species